rnacentral:ribozyme from 1 species
AAAGCAAAAGAAGAAGAAAGAGAAAAAAGAAAAGAAGGAGAAGAAGGCCAAAAAGUCGUC